rnacentral:rRNA from 1 species
UACGUAGGGGGCAAGCGUUGUUCGGAAUUACUGGGCGUAAAGGGCGCGUAGGCGGCCCAGCAAGUCGGGAGUGAAAGCCCGGGGCUCAACCCCGGAAUGGCUUUCGAAACUGCUGAGCUAGAGUACAGAAGGGGCAACCGGAAUUCCCAGUGUAGCGGUGAAAUGCGUAGAUAUUGGGAAGAACACCUGAGGCGAAGGCGGGUUGCUGGGCUGAUACUGACGCUGAGGAGCGAAAGCGUGGGGAGCGAACAGG